UAGGAGUGUAUAUCAACGAUACCUUAAUGGAAAAAAAAAAGAAGAUGAUGAUUAAAUUUUGCUGUUUUGUCUGGACUAAAGAACCGAUUUGCUGAAAGGACUCCUCGCCCAGACUCCCCCACUUGAGUUCUUUACCCACUGCUUCCAGCCUGGAGACCUGGUGUUAGCAAAGUCCUGGAAAGAAGACCGACUGCAGCCCAGCUGGGAAGGCCCCUACCAAGUGUUCCUGACCACGGAGACUGCAGUGCGGACGGUGGAAGAGGGCUGGACUCACUACACCAGAAUCAAGAAAUUGACUGAGGGAUCUGGGGGCAAAACGGAGAACUGGAAGGUGUCCCAAGUGGCUGACCACCCCUUGAGGCUAAAACUGAAAAGGAUCUAAAAUGUUAAUCUUUAUGCUUCUAACUCUAUAUUUUACAGGCAUCUCUCAGGGAAGCCUAGAAUGGGAAGGAACUCCUGGUUAUCCUGUCAAACUGGUGAUCAAUAUUACAAAACCAUCAGGCCCCCAAACCAUCAGGUUUGAUGCUUGUCAGGUUCUCUCUUGUGGUGACCUAAAUAACCAAAGACAGCUUUCUGGAGACAAUAAGUAUCUCUGUCCUGAAUGGACGAGUGUUAGUGGACCAAAAAAAGCAAACGGGCCCCCGUGUCCAGGCUGGAGCAAUGUUUGGUGGACUACCCAGUUUCAAGGGUGGACAGCCCCUCAUGCGACAGGGAAACCUUUGAAAGGAAAGCUCCACUUGGCUAAAGGCAUUCCUCCUGCAAAUUGCCAGGACAAACAAUGUAACCCCCUCUUGUUAACUAUAAAUAACCCUCAAGAUUUAGACUCGGACCCUGUAAUUGCUCCUCGUGUUUACGGACUUGGUGCCGAUGUUACUGGAAUAGAUCCCUUGGGAAGGUUUGGUCUUAAUUUAAUCAAAGACAAGAUUUUACCCAUAGUGACCACCACCCCCAAUCCUGAGGUAGAUAGUGAACCAGAACCUUCCCUUAAUCACCCUAAACUAGUUACUGUACAGACUGGUUAGAAGGAUGGUUUGGAAAACAGAAAGGUAUGGUUGCUUCUGUUUUAACAUCUCUUGUUAUAGUUGAGGAAUUUUAACUGCUAUAGGAUGCUGUAUCAUCCCUUGUGUGAGAGGCCUGACCCAGAGGCCUAUAAAGGCAGCCGUAAACAAACAAAUACCUAUGACAUGCACCUAAUCUUACAUGUUGGAAGAUAAAUUUGACAACGAAUAAGAGAGCAAAAAUAUAUUAGAAAAGUUUGAAAAAGAACCGGGCAUGAGUUGAAGUAUAUUACUGGGAAUCAGAAAUUCUUAAAUAAGAGGGGGAACUGCUAGAAAAAGCCUAAAACCUAAACGUGAUUUAUUCCCACCCACCAGGGGGUUUAAACACAAGGUAUUAGGUAUUGACAAAAAGCCCAUGUGGUGACAUACAUGCCUGGAAGUUGCUCAGGCUCGGAGGGGGAAGGAAUGUGAGAAGGCUGUGCAUAUUCAGGAGCAGUGGGGAAAGUUUUGAACCACCCAAUAAAGUUAAGACAAAUGUAAAGAAAGCCUAAUAUGAUAUAACUUGCUUAGGUGACAUCCAGGUGAGAAUGCGAACCCUGUAGUACUCAGCCAAUGAGGAACCAGGAGAGGGAGUCACAUGCUAAGGAAUAAAUUGUCUGUUGUAACCACGCUAAAUGGGCCUGCUCACCAGACGCCUGAUCCUGCAAGACUGCCAUUAAAUAGGCUCGCUGCACUGUU